CUGGUUCAGACUGGAAUCUCCGCUGGAGGGAAAGGCCUGGGGAAGCCUGAGCCCAAAAUGCACAGUAAGGUUAGGAGAGGCCGGUGCCAAGCCUGUUUGCACAAUUAAUUGCCAGUGCUUGGGUUUAAGACUGACAGGCUCGCCCACAGGGGUCCUUCUUGAUCUUUCUGCGGCCACUGAGAAUUCGGAUUGUCCCGUUCCAGAACAAUUGUGGGGCGCAGGGGAGCUGAAAAAGGAAUGAUGGUCCAUGACUAAAGCUACUAGCCACAUGUGGCAAU